rnacentral:rRNA from 1 species
UACAGAGGUCUCAAGCGUCGUUCGGAUUCAUUGGGCGUAAAGGGUGCGUAGGCGGCCAACUAAGUCAGACGUGAAAUCCCUCGGCUUAACCGGGGAACUGCGUCUGAUACUGGAUGGCUUGAGGUUGGGAGAGGGAUGCGGAAUUCCAGGUGUAGCGGUGAAAUGCGUAGAUAUCUGGAGGAACACCGGUGGCGAAGGCGGCAUCCUGGACCAAUUCUGACGCUGAGGAGCGAAAGCCAGGGGAGCAAACGGG